AUCCAUCUGACGAGUCCCAAACAGGACGAAGUGGAGCUCGUCUUGGAU
rnacentral:hammerhead_ribozyme from 1 species